rnacentral:rRNA from 1 species
GCUCUUUGGUGAUUCAUGAUAACUUAACGGAUCGCAUGGCCUUGCGCCGGCGACGGUUCAUUCAAAUUUCUGCCCUAUCAACUUUCGAUGGUAAGGUAUUGGCUUACCAUGGUUUCAACGGGUAACGGGGAAUUAGGGUUCGAUUCCGGAGAGGGAGCCUGAGAAACGGCUACCACAUCCAAGGAAGGCAGCAGGCGCGCAAAUUACCCAAUCCCGACACGGGGAGGUAGUGACAAUAAAUACUGAUACAGGGCUCUUUUGGGUCUUGUAAUCGGAAUGAGUACAAUUUAAACCCCUUAACGAGGAACAAUUGGAGGGCAAGUCUGGUGCCAGCAGCCGCGGUAAUUCCAGCUCCAAUAGCGUAUAUUAAAGUUGUUGCAGUUAAAAAGCUCGUAGUUGAACCUUGGGCCUGGCUGGCCGGUCCGCCUCACCGCGUGUACUGGUCCGGCCGGGCCUUUCCUUCUGGAGAGCCCCAUGCCCUUCACUGGGCGUGCGGGGGAACCAGGACUUUUACUUUGAAAAAAUUAGAGUGUUCAAAGCAGGCCUUUGCUCGAAUACGUUAGCAUGGAAUAAUAGAAUAGGACGUGCGGUCCUAUUUUGUUGGUUUCUAGGACCGCCGUAAUGAUUAAUAGGGAUAGUCGGGGGCAUCAGUAUUCAAUUGUCAGAGGUGAAAUUCUUGGAUUUAUUGAAGACUAACUACUGCGAAAGCAUUUGCCAAGGAUGUUUUCAUUAAUCAGUGAACGAAAGUUAGGGGAUCGAAGACGAUCAGAUACCGUCGUAGUCUUAACCGUAAAACCAAUGACUUACCACGCCAUAGAGGUGAUGUUUUCUGAUCGCCACGCAACUACGCCCAAGUUUUUGGGU